UUGCCAGGCUUUGGUAAUAUGAUUUUGCUAGUUUAUACAUUUAUCUGAGAAACAUUCAAUCUUUUUCUAUGUCCAAUAUAGAGAAAAUAUGUUGAAAAGCCAGGUGUGGUGGUGCAUGUCUGUAAUCCCAGUGACUCAGGAGGCUAAAGCAGGAGGAUCAAAAGUUCAAAGCCAGACUCAGCAAUUUAGCAAGGCCCUAAGCAACUUAGAAAGAUCCUGAAGGGAAAGCGAGGAACGAGAGACGGAUACAGAUAAAGUCCGCCUUUUUCAGCUGUAAGAAGGUCAAGGACUCUUCGAUUCUGCAGAACCACAGCAGCUAAAGAAUUAAGCUGGGAUUAUAUGAGCUGAACCUUUGACUUGGCAACUCCAUUCUGAGUGUAUACAACAGAAUGUGUGAAUAUGUUCACCAAAAG